AAACUUAGGAUACUUAAACCAAGGGCCUUCAAAGCCCUAAAAAAGAGCGCGACACUCUUAGUUUUU
rnacentral:tRNA from 1 species